ensembl:lncRNA
GCAAAUCAAAACAGAGAGACUUCAAAGCUGAGAUUCUUAUGCCGCAAGCUGCAGGGGAACCAUAUGCUUCUCCGCUGUAGGAAGAAAGAGACUCCCGGUCUGCCAGGAGGCUUCACCAGUCCCCUCCAGACACAAAGACCCCUGGGGAGUGCAGCUCCUCCCCUUCCCGUAGGAGAACCAAGCACCCAAAAAAGGCAGGCCCCAGAAAUCAGGACAUUAACUCUUUAACUGUCGGUGCUUUACGUGAUGUUAUGAUGUAGAAUACAGACAACAAAAAAAAGCACAAAACCAUGACACUGACUGUUAAUGCUGAUGGGAUGUUGGGAAGACAGUGAGAGUGAUGUCUCACCACUUUAUUCUCUUUGUAAUUCUUUGAUUGCUCAAGCCACAGUCCACUGUGUUGGAGUGACUGGACUGCUGCAGCCAUGGAUUGUUAGGAUGUAGAGAAAGAUUAUCUGUAUUACUUCUUCGUAACCAAUAAGACUUUACAGAACUGGCAAUUAUCCUAUCCCUGCACAAAGUGUUUCUGUUUGCCUCAACGCUUGGAUCACUGAAUCCCAAAUGUGCAGUAGGUUUCUGACUUUGUCUGGAGCAAUGACAUAGAUGGCCGUAGAUGUUUCUCAGCACUGGGGCCUGCUUUCCUCAGCCAAACUCACCUUAACAUCACAGAAAAUUGGCAGAAAACACAGGGUCCCACAGAUGUAUGUCAUAUGGCUAGGACCUAGGUGCCACACAGCGGUGCUCUUGACUCCAUGUUGCUCAAAGGCCUGUGCUGGCUGGAGGGAGUUAAAGCAGCAAGCCUACCAGAACUGGCUUUGGAAGGAGGGCUAAGACUCAGCUCUGCAAAGAAGGUGAACCAUCCAGUGGGAUGAGGCAUUUUCUUGCCCGACUGAUCUACUAAGUCAGAUAUGGAAAGAAUCACAGAAAUGAAGGGACCUCAAGAGAGCAUUGAGUCCAAACUCCUGCUAAAGCAGGUACAAAGAAAUAUAUAAUGACAGCUUACAAAAAUCCCAAGUUUUUAUUUUUGUAGCUAUUGUUCCUUCCCAUUUCCUCUGUUUUCUUCUGUCUGUAGAAGAUUCAUCCCGGUUCAUAUCUCAGCAUCCUCCCGGAAUCAGGGACAGAUACAUUUCUCUGGGUCAGUCAUGAAUAUGAAGAGAAGUAAGGCAGAUGGAGAGGAGAUGCACCUUCUCCAUGUAAGGAGAGGACCACACAAAAUUAAGAACAGCCAUGGUGGACCCAGGUAGGAACCCCAUUCUUGGGGGCAGUCAGCAGUGGCACUGGCCUAAUGUCAGUUGAAAUAUCCCUUUUUCUCUCAAGAAAAGCUCUGUAUCUAGUGUACAUCUUCACCUGUAUCAAGGCUAUGGCUCAGUGAAAUCACCAAGAAUGAUUUAAUUGACUUUUGUGUACUUUUAAUCUAAUCCUCUGAACUGUAGCAUUCUGAUAGCCAAUGUUUAGCCUUAUUCAUUUAGGAGUUCAGUUCACCUCUCACUGAGAAUUUCUGAAAGCCUUACUGAAAAAUGGAUUGGGCAUUUAGCUAUUUAUGAGAAUCUUGCUUUUAAACUGUGAGAAGAUAUCUUUUUAAUUAAUCCUCACAGAAAACAAUUGAAUGCUUGACCUACAAGGAUAAUUACUUGUGUUCUGCUUUGAUUACUUUGUAAAAGUUUUAUUGGAUUUAUAUAGUGUACUGCAUAAUAUGUGAUCUAAAAUUGGAGCUCUUUACUACAGCAUGGAGUGGAGCUUUAUACUGCAGCAUAAACUUUAUAGAAUUGACAACCAUGUUGUCUAUAUAAAAACAUCAUUCUGUAAUUAGUCUUAUUAGUAUAAUUUUUUA